rnacentral:lncRNA from 1 species
CCCUAAUUUUCAGCAUGGGUCCCACUUCUAUCACUUCUUUCAAAUCUCUCUCUUUCGUUUUCCUCGUCUCCAAACAGCCCCUAAUUUUUUUCCUUUUCUCUUUCUUCCCCAAACCUGAGAAGAAUGACUUAAGAGUCCAACAAUGGAGGUGAAAGAGUUUCUUAGGCACCAAACACAACAGGUGAAAAGCAAAUUCUUUACUACAAGAAAGAGGUGAUGAAGAAGAAAGAAUCGUUGAUAGAAGAUUUUUCUGAACUUGUUGCUGAAUCCAAAUGGAAGAACUUUGUAAGGAAGAAAAUAUUGUAACCCGAAGAAAUCUUUAAAGAAGAAAACAAUAUCAGUCUAAUUCUUUAAAGUUACUCUGAGCUUCCAUUUCAAGAAAAAAUUUAUGCUCUCGACUUGGGUGAUAGAGAUGACUAUGUGGAAGAUGGAGAACUUUUAUGCAAUUUCUACUCAAUUUUUUGUUUUUAAGAAGAAGAUGAGGAAAUAGCUUCCUUGUGAAUUUUUGAAAUAUAUUGAUUUUGGAUAGGUGGAAUUAUGUGUUUCUUUUACACGACUUCUCUAAAUUUUCUUGAUUUUGGUUUGCCUCUGUUUUCUGAAUCCUUGACCCAACUGGGUUGGUGUCUAUUUGCUUCUGAAAAUUGCUUAAUUGAUAAUGUGAAACUUAAUGGGAAUUUGGCUUUUUGUACCUUGAAUAGGCUUUUUGUCAGCAUAUUUCUGUUGUUCACGCGCUCAAAUGCAGUGAUAUCCAUAUUAUUUGUCAUGUCAUACGGAUGUG